rnacentral:rRNA from 1 species
CGGACGGGUGAGUAACGCGUGGGGAACCUGCCCUGUACCGGGGGAUAGCAGCCGGAAACGGCUGAUAAUACCGCAUAAGCGCACGAAUGUCGCAUGACAUGGUGUGAAAAACUCCGGUGGUAUAGGAUGGACCCGCGUCUGAUUAGCCUGUUGGUGGGGUAAAAGCCUACCAAAGCGAAGAUCAGUAGCCGAGUUGAGAGACUGACCGGCCACAUUGGGACUGAGACACGGCCCAGACUCCUACGGGAGGCAGCAGAG